AGUGCUCUACGGCGGCCAGCUCGCGGCCACGCUGGAGGGCUUGCAGAGGAACAAGGACAUGACGGUCGUCAUUCUAUUCCACUUUGACAAGAUGGCCAUCUCGCUGCUCGGCGCGCCCGAGCCGGAGUCGCCGGUCGUCGUGCCCUUGACGAGGUCGGCGGCCGACCCGACCCUCAAGGAGAUCACGGUCAGCCGAAACCUGCAGACGCACACCGUGGAAAUCUACACCGGCCUUUCAUCAGCCGUGUGAGACAAGUGCAGGGGCUGGAACGCACACUGGACCGUUCAGACGCUGGAGACGUGUAGCUCACCUGUAUAUGCACGUUUACUUUCAACCUCCGCGCCUCCGGGGAAGAGAACGAACGGUGUUCAAUAAACGAUUACUCCUCAAAA
rnacentral:lncRNA from 1 species